GACGAACGCUGGCGGCGUGCUUAACACAUGCAAGUCGAGCGGUAAGGCCCUUUCGGGGUACGACGAGCGGCGAACGGGUGAGUAACACGUGGGUGACCUGCCUCUAGCUCUGGGAUAAGCCUGGGAAGCUGGGUCUAAUACCGGAUAUGACCUCGCGGUGCAUGUUGCGGGGUGGAAAGCCUUGUGCGGCUAGGGAUGGGCCCGCGGCCUAUCAGCUUGUUGGUGGGGUGANGGCCUACCAAGGCGACGACGGGUAGCCGGCCUGAGAGGGCGACCGGCCACACUGGGACUGAGACACGGCCCAGACUCCUACGGGAGGCAGCAGUGGGGAAUCUUGCGCAAUGGGCGAAAGCCUGACGCAGCGACGCCGCGUGAGGGAUGACGGCCUGGUGUAA
rnacentral:rRNA from 1 species